CCUACGGGAGGCAGCAGUGGGGAAUUUUGGACAAUGGGCGCAAGCCUGAUCCAGCAAUGCCGCGUGCAGGAUGAAGGCCUUCGGGUUGUAAACUGCUUUUGUACGGAACGAAACGGUCUGCCCUAAUACGGUGGGCUAAUGACGGUACCGUAAGAAUAAGCACCGGCUAACUACGUGCCAGCAGCCGCGGUAAUACGUAGGGUGCGAGCGUUAAUCGGAAUUACUGGGCGUAAAGCGUGCGCAGGCGGUUAUGUAAGACAGAUGUGAAAUCCCCGGGCUCAACCUGGGACCUGCAUUUGUGACUGCAUAGCUAGAGUACGGUAGAGGGGGAUGGAAUUCCGCGUGUAGCAGUGAAAUGCGUAGAUAUGCGGAGGAACACCGAUGGCGAAGGCAAUCCCCUGGACCUGUACUGACGCUCAUGCACGAAAGCGUGGGGAGCAAACAGGAUUAGAUACCCUGGUAGUCCACGCCCUAAACGAUGUCAACUGGUUGUUGGGUCUUCACUGACUCAGUAACGAGCUAACGCGUGAAGUUGACCGCCUGGGGAGUACGGCCGCAAGGUUGAAACUCAAAGGAUUGACGGGCNGAGAGNGCGAGCGACGACGAGGAGAGG
rnacentral:rRNA from 1 species